rnacentral:rRNA from 1 species
AGAGUUUGAUCAUGGCUCGGAUUGAACGCUGGCGGCAGGCCUAACACAUGCAAGUCGAACGGUAACAGGAAACAGCUUGCUGUUUCGCCGACGAGUGGCGGACGGGUGAGUAAUGUCUGGGAAACUGCCUGAUGGAGGGGGAUAACUACUGGAAACGGUAGCUAAUACCGCAUAACGUCGCAAGACCAAAGAGGGGGACCUUCGGGCCUCUUGCCAUCAGAUGUGCCCAGAUGGGAUUAGCUAGUAGGUGGGGCAACGGCUCACCUAGGCGACGAUCCCUAGCUGGUCUGAGAGGAUGACCAGCCACACUGGAACUGAGACACGGUCCAGACUCCUACGGGAGGCAGCAGUGGGGAAUAUUGCACAAUGGGCGCAAGCCUGAUGCAGCCAUGCCGCGUGUAUGAAGAAGGCCUUCGGGUUGUAAAGUACUUUCAGCGGGGAGGAAGGGAGUAAAGUUAAUACCUUUGCUCAUUGACGUUACCCGCAGAAGAAGCACCGGCUAACUCCGUGCCAGCAGCCGCGGUAAUACGGGGGUGCAAGCGUUAAUCGGAAUUACUGGGCGUAAAGCGCACGCAGGCGGUUUGUUAAGUCAGAUGUGAAAUCCCCGGGCUCAACCUGGGAACUGCAUCUGAUACUGGCAAGCUUGAGUCUCGUAGAGGGGGGUAGAAUUCCAGGUGUAGCGGUGAAAUGCGUAGAGAUCUGGAGGAAUACCGGUGGCGAAGGCGGCCCCCUGGACGAAGACUGACGCUCAGGUGCGAAAGCGUGGGGAGCAAACAGGAUUAGAUACCCUGGUAGUCCAUGCCGUAAUCGAUGUCGACUUGGAGGUUGUGCCCUUGAGGCGUGGCUUCCGGAGCUAACGCGUUAAGUCGACCGCCUGGGGAGUACGGCCGCAAGGUUAAAACUCAAAUGAAUUGACGGGGGCCCGCACAAGCGGUGGAGCAUGUGGUUUAAUUCGAUGCAACGCGAAGAACCUUACCUGGUCUUGACAUCCACGGAAGUUUUCAGAGAUGAGAAUGUGCCUUCGGGAACCGUGAGACAGGUGCUGCAUGGCUGUCGUCAGCUCGUGUUGUGAAAUGUUGGGUUAAGUCCCGCAACGAGCGCAACCCUUAUCCUUUGUUGCCAGCGGUCCGGCCGGGAACUCAAAGGAGACUGACAGUGAUAAACUGGAGGAAGGUGGGGAUGACGUCAAGUCAUCAUGCCCCUUACGACCAGGGCUACACACGUGCUACAAUGGCGCAUACAAAGAGAAGCGACCUCGCGAGAGCAAGCGGACCUCAUAAAGUGCGUCGUAGUCCGGAUUGGAGUCUGCAACUCGACUCCAUGAAGUCGGAAUCGCUAGUAAUCGUGGACCAGAACGCCACGGUGAAUACGUUCCCGGGCCUUGUACACACCGCCCGUCACACCAUGGGAGUGGGUUGCAAAAGAAGUAGGUAGCUUAACCUUCGGGAGGGCGCUUACCACUUUGUGAUUCAUGACUGGGGUGAAGUCGUAACAAGGUAACCGUAGGGGUACCUGCGGUUG